GGUUCCAACACAUCAAGCCUCGUCCCUCUUCUCUCUCUACGAGCAUAGAACGAUGGAUCACGCGGCCGACGCGCACCGGACGGACUUGAUGACGAUCACCAGGCACGUGCUGAACGAACAGUCGAAGCACCCCGAGUCGAAGGGCGACUUCACCAUCCUCCUCUCCCACAUCGUCCUCGGCUGCAAGUUCGUCUGCUCCGCCGUCAACAAGGUCCUCCUCUUCCUCUUCCCCUCCACCAUUGCGUCUCCUAUUGCUAUCUCCACUUCGAUUCCACCUUGUUUGUUCUCACAGGCUGGCCUCGCCAAACUCAUAGGACUCGCAGGAGAGACGAACGUCCAGGGUGAAGAACAGAAGAAGCUGGACGUGCUCUCCAACCAAGUCUUCGUCAAGGCUUUGAUCAGCAGCGGUCGCACAUGUGUUCUUGUGUCAGAAGAGGAUGAGGAAGCCACCUUUGUGGAUCCAUCACUGCGUGGAAAGUACUGCGUCGUCUUCGAUCCCCUGGACGGUUCCUCUAACAUUGACUGUGGCGUCUCCAUUGGAACAAUUUUUGGCAUUUACAUGGUUAAAGAUAAGGAUAAUGUGAGCCUUGAUGAUGUGUUGCAACCAGGGAAGCAUAUGGUAGCAGCUGGCUACUGCAUGUACGGCAGUUCUUGCACUCUUGUGUUAAGCACCGGGAACGGUGUCAAUGGUUUCACUCUCGAUCCAUCUCUUGGAGAGUUCAUGCUCACCCAUCCGGACAUUAAGAUACCCAAGAGAGGCAAAUUGUACUCAGUGAACGAAGGAAAUGCCAAGAACUGGGAUACUCCUACAGCAAAGUUUGUGGAGAAAUGCAAGUUCCCAAAGGAUGGUUCAUCACCAAAAUCUCUGAGAUACAUUGGAAGUAUGGUUGCUGAUGUCCAUCGAACACUGCUGUAUGGAGGCAUCUUUUUGUACCCUGCAGAUAAGCAAAGUCCUAAUGGAAAACUACGCGUUCUGUAUGAGGUAUUUCCAAUGUCAUUCUUGAUGGAACAAGCAGGAGGUCAAGCAUUCACAGGAGAACAACGGGCCCUUGAUUUGGUUCCCACCAAGAUUCAUCAGAGGUCUCCAGUAUUUCUUGGCAGCUAUGAUGAUGUUGAGGAAAUUAAAGCUCUCUAUGCUGCCGAAGAGAAGAAAGCAUGAUCAACACACAUCAAACUCCAUCAUGCUUGUAUUCCCUGCUCAUAGUCCUCUCACACAGAACUAUGGUGUUGAACUUGUAUUCCCUGUAUACAAGAUGCUCUUCUCCCACAAAAAUGGUGUCUCCACUAUUGAUCCUGAGAUGCUAAGGAUGUGUAUGUGCUUAGAAGCGUGUAUCGGUUGCCUCACCUGGGCAGCAUCCCUGCUUUCAACGUGAUGAUUGAGAGAGCGCACAGAUAUCUGAAACUUCUCGCUGUAAAUAAGCUGCUGCUGCUGCUCCUGGUGAUGACCACAUUGCUACGUUUGGCUGGGAGUUCUUCGUCAACACUUGAAGUGUUGA